AUUGAACGCUGGCGGCAGGCCUAACACAUGCAAGUCGAACGAGUGGCGGACGGGUGAGUAGUGUCGGGGAAACUGCCUGAGGGAGGGGGAUAACUACUGAAAAAGGUAGAUAAUACCGCAUAAACUGAGAUGGGCCCAGAUUGAUGUAGCUUGUUGGUGGGGUAAAGGCUCACCAAGGAGACGAUCCCUAGCUGGUCUGAGAGGAUGACCAGCCACACGGGAACUGAGACACGGUCCAGACUCCUACGGGAGGCAGCAGUGGGGAAUAUGGCACAAUGGGCGCAAGCCUGAUGCAGCCAUGCCGCGUGUAGGAAGAAGGCCCUCGGGUUGUAAAGUACUUUCAGCGGGGAGGCGUUACCCGCAGAAGAAGCACCGGCUAACUCCGUGCCAGCAGCCGCGGUAAUAC
rnacentral:rRNA from 1 species